rnacentral:lncRNA from 1 species
AGCGGUCGACCUUCCACAGUGUCCUCCAGAUUCCUCCAACGGACGAACUUCUAUUGUACCAUCCAAACUUCUCCAAUAAUGAGCUCCUCCAUUCAUCUACCGGACUGCUCUAAAUGCUUUCUGAGCUUCACUAUCAGCCAAUUUUCUACAGUGAUCGGCCAUUAUCUGAAUCUCUUCCAGACUUCUUCCAGCCACGAUCGACUUUACUCCGAACUUCUAAUUGCAAGAGAAUUCCAUCUGAGCUCCUACAAAAGCCAGACUUCGUCCAAACUUCUAUAGUGGAUGGAUCCUAGACGAACUUCUACAACGGACGGGCUCUACCAGUCGGAUCUU